rnacentral:rRNA from 1 species
UUGGAGGGCAAGUCUGGUGCCAGCAGCCGCGGUAAUUCCAGCUCCAAUAGCGUAUAUUAAAGUUGUUGCAGUUAAAAAGCUCGUAGUUGAACUUCGGGAUCAAUGGAUUGGUCCUGCCGAUGGUAUGUACUGGUCAUAUUGGUUCUCACCUUCUAAGGAACCAUAAUGUCAUUUAUUUGAUGUUGUGGGGAAUUAGGACUGUUACCUUGAAAAAAUUAGAGUGUUUAAAGCAGGCUAACGCUUGAAUACAUUAGCAUGGAAUAAUGAAAUAGGACAUCGCAUUCUAUUUUGUUGGUUUCGAGGAUCGAUGUAAUGAUUAAUAGGGAUAGUUGGGGGCAUUAGUAUUCAAUUGUCAGAGGUGAAAUUCUUGGAUUUAUUGAAGACUAACUACUGCGAAAGCAUUUGCCAAGGAUGUUUUCAUUAAUCAAGAACGAAAGUUAGGGGAUCGAAGACGAUCAGAUACCGUCGUAGUCUUAACCAUAAACUAUGCCGACUAGGGAUCGGAUGAUGUUGAUUUUUUAAUGACUCAUUCGGCGCCUUACGGGAAAC